CCUGAAUAAUGACUUCCUUGCAAUUAGGUGCUCUCUAGUAAAUCAGAGUGCAGCCACCUGAUGUUCCCAAUUUGCAUUCUGACUUGCUGAGUGCAGAAGUUUGACGAGCUAUUACUGAGGUCUGCAUGCGCCAGUGGUCCAAAUCUCACACUCCCCCUCUGGACCUUAAGGGAUUUAGAACCCAUCCACUGGACCACCAGGAAGAAAGACAAACAGGAGAGGGCGACACAGAGCACAACCACACACAUCACAUACAGCCAGUACCCACAUACAUUACAUACAGCCAGCACACAAACCUUACAUACUGCCAGCAUAC